GGCUUUGUAGCUUAGCUGGUACAGCGCUUGACGCGUUCAUGCACGGUGUUUCUGUCGCUGGUUCGAAUCCAGCCGAAGCCC